rnacentral:rRNA from 1 species
UACGUAGGGUGCAAGCGUUAAUCGGAAUGACUGGGCGUAAAGCGUGCGCAGGCGGUUUGGUAAGUCUGACGUGAAAUCCCCGGGCUCAACCUGGGAAUUGCGUUGGAGACUGCAAGGCUAGAAUCUGGCAGAGGGGGGUAGAAUUCCACGUGUAGCAGUGAAAUGCGUAGAGAUGUGGAGGAACACCGAUGGCGAAGGCAGCCCCCUGGGUCAAGAUUGACGCUCAUGCACGAAAGCGUGGGGAGCAAACAGG